rnacentral:rRNA from 1 species
GAUGAACGCUGGCGGCGUGCCUAAUACAUGCAAGUAGAACGCUGAAGGAAGGAGCUUGCUCUUUCCGGAUGAGUUGCGAACGGGUGAGUAACGCGUAGGUAACCUGCCUGGUAGCGGGGGAUAACUAUUGGAAACGAUAGCUAAUACCGCAUAACAGUAGAUGUUGCAUGAUAUCUACUUAAAAGGUGCAAUUGCACCACUACCAGAUGGACCUGCGUUGUAUUAGCUAGUUGGUGAGGUAACGGCUCACCAAGGCGACGAUACAUAGCCGACCUGAGAGGGUGAUCGGCCACACUGGGAGUGAGACACGGCCCAGACUCCUACGGGAGGCAGCAGUAGGGAAUCGUCGGCAAUGGACGGAAGUCUGACCGAGCAACGCCGCGGGAGUGAAGAAGGUUUUCGGAUCGUAAAGCUCUGUUGUAAGAGAAGAACGAGUGUGAGAGUGGAAAGUUCACACUGUGACGGUAUCUUACCAGAAAGGGACGGCUAACUACGUG